CGUUUAUCUCAUUAAGUGUUUUUUGUAUGUAUAAUUUCCUUUUUUUGAGUUACAAGGAGGCUCAAAGGCCGAGCAAAACGCUAAACAAAAAAAACAAAAAAUUCAUCAACUAAAAUGAUUUACACAAAUAGCAGAAUUCCUAGCAACCCUAAUUGAAUAGUUGGAUGAGGAGGUUCAUCAAACACAACACAUCCAAAGUUCAACAAUAAAACUUAUUUGAAACUACUUUUAAAAUAUCUAAAAGGGUUUUUGGUGAAAAUAUCUUUAUAAUCAAUUCUUAAUAAAAAUAUGAGUGAAUCUUGAAAAAACACUCCUAAUACUUUAAAACCCAAAAAUAUUUUUAAAGCAUUUUCAUUUAUUUUAAAAAUAUUUUCAAACGAAACCAGCCUCAUCAAACCAUCAUCCACCAAAUUUCUUUCUGUCUGACUCAGUUCACAUUGAUCAAACCAAGAGACACGUCAGAUGACAAAUAAUGAUGAUCCAAUUCCAUUUUUAUUGUUUGGUUUCAUUAAAACAUCACAUGUAUUUUUCUUUUUAAUUAUAGGAAGUUUAGAGUGCU
rnacentral:lncRNA from 1 species